rnacentral:tRNA from 1 species
GAGGGUAUAGCUCAGUGGUAGAGUGCAUGCCUAGCACGCACAAGGUCCUGGGUUCAAUCCUCAGUACCUCUA